rnacentral:misc_RNA from 1 species
AACAUCGCGCACCUGCGGGAACCUGCGGAAGGAUCAUUACCGAGUGUGAACCCCCCCGUAAAAAAGAGGGGUUACCUCCCGUCCUUUGCUGGGAACCCCUUUCCAACUUGGAAGGAGGUUGUUUUCAGACCCUUCUGCUUCGGUGGGGUAACCCACCGGAACAACCUCAAAAAUAUUCUCAAUUCAAAACCGUUCAGUCCGAGAACUUUUUUGAAAAGCGAAAAAACUUUCAACAACGGA